AGCCUGAUCCUUGACAAAGACUGACAUAAUUAUUCAGUGAACUGGUGUUAUCUUGGAUAUUAUCUUUAAAUGUUGAUGGUUUAGGGAGCAAUCCAAACUCCUGCUAGUCUAGUGGAGUCACGUGGGGCAAUGGGGCCAUGGCUGCAUCCACAGCCCUGCCAUGCAUGACAACCAAGGCAGAAGGGAGCAGGCAGAUAAACAUCCCCUCCUCCUGUUAACUUCUUAAUACUCUUGUGGGGAGCUAUUUGUGUGUUUGUUUUGUCUCAGACGCUGAUAUGUGUUGACCCAUCUCUGCUUACUUAAUACAGUGGUACCUCGGGUUACAGACGCUUCAGGUUACAGACGCUUCAGGUUACAGAUCCCGCUAACCCAGAAAUAGUACCUCAGGUUAAGAACUUUGCUUCAGGAUCAGAACAGAAACAAUGCUGCAGCGGCGGCGACAGCAGCGGGAGGCCCCAUUAGCUAAAGUGGUACCUCAGGUUAAGAACAGACCUCCAGAACGAAUUAAGUUCUUAACCCAAGGUACCACUGUACUGGCUCAUGAGUUUGCAUCCAGAUGGGUGUCAAAAAUGAUACAGUUCAUAUUCACCUGCGCAUUCCAUGCCUUCAAAGUACCGGUUCCCGUAGAUUUCAGAACAGUUUUCCAUUAGAGAAAUGUACCCCCACUUAAGGCCAAAUUGCGUUGAAAAUUCUAAAGAAGAAAUAAAUAACAGUUUGUGUUUUAUUUAUUAUUUCAUUUAUCAUUUAUUCAAUUAUUAAUUGUUCACAAUUCAAUACUUUCAUUCACUGUCCAUAAACUUAUCCCAUUUCAACCGUGGUUGGGUAAAUCUGAUUUUUUAAGUAUCUGAUGAGACUUUUUUCCAAUGCAGGACAAAACAACUUGCAUUUUUUUUAAAAAAAAAAGUGAAAAUUUCACAUAAAUUUUUAAAAGUGAAAAAUUUCACAUAAAUUUCAUUCAAGUCUCUGAAUGAAGGAGUUGUGAAGACUUGGCCAACAUGGAUUUCCAAACCAGUUAGCAACAGUUAUCUUCAAAGAGCUCACACUGUAGUAGCUGAAACUUGAAGAGACUCCCAAAUCCACCUGCGGAUUCCAUCCCGGAGAAUUUCACAGUCCCUUUGAGAAUUUUGGAAUGUAAUUCCUUUUCUCAUGACUUGAUACAGGAUGGUGGGGGAGGGGGAAGAAGGGGGGGUGAGAUGUUCAGCUGAGACCAAUAGGAAAUGCUAGUGACACAGCUUUUAAUGAGCUGUUAUAUAGAAGAGUUGAAAGGAAGUGCUUUUGUAGCUUAGCAAAGUAUGAGGCCAGAAGAGAUGAGGAAAUUGUAACCAUAAUUCAAAGAAGUAAUUAGCCUAUUCCAUUUACCUUCAUUGAGUCCCCAGCCGGACACUUUGCACUGGUGGCCACCUUUGAACAUGUAUUUUGACCAAGGGACACAGACUGGCACAGAGUCACGCGGGUAACAUGUUGAUUGGUUCUUGUCCCUGGGUUUCAUCUCCAGCAAAGCAAUGUCAUUUUCAUAUGUUUUGGUGUUGUACUUCUCGUGAACUAUUACUUUAACUACUUGAAAUGCUUCUAUUAUAUCUUCCUGUUUUACUGUGUUCAGCAUUCCAGUCCAUACCAAAUAAGUAUGUGCACGGCUCUCUCUGCAAAAAAGAAAUGUGUUUCAAGGAGUGCAAGCAGAAACACAAACUUUGGAUUAUGAAACAUUUUCCAGCUACUGAAACAAGUAGUGAAAUGGAUUAUAUACACAAGCGCCCACUUUUAGCAAUAGACUCCUGCACAGUUUUCCAUGCCUUUAUGAAAUCCAUUAGAUUAAAUCCAUUAGAUUAGAAACGCUGUGAUUUAGCAAAAAUAGCUGAGGCCUGGCUACAUAUUUAUUUAUUUAUUAUUGCAUUCAUUUUAAGAUUAACUUUUUUAAAAACCCACUUAAUUAUUUGCAUUUCUGGAAAAAAAAUCCACGGAAAAUGGGACAAUCAAACAAUUAAAAAACCUGAAGUUCAACCGACAGUGUGUCUCUCUAAUUUCAGUUGCGAGGGAGUUCAACCGUCUUGAGCUCACCCUGCUGAAUGCACGGCUUCUACUAGUUAUCAGCUGUGUGUCUGAGCCAUGGGGGACCACCAACAGAGAUUCCCCCAAAGAUCUCAAAGAAUUUCAAAAAAAUAUAAGGGACCAGUUAGGUAUUUUUAUUUAUUUACUUGUUUUGGGGGGGGGGAGCAACUGUCCCUCCUGCCCAACCCCCAGCUACGCCUAUGUCAAUUAAGCCAAUAUAGAACUCCUAGACCGUUGUAACGUAGAUGGAACCGUAGACGUCCAAGACCCUAAAAGUUCAUUUUGUUCUGUCUCUUGCUGCAAGGCAAUUCCCAUUUGAGAGUCGCCAAAUCCACUUACCUAACACAGUGUGCAGCCGUCAAAACCCAGCAGCCCCCAAUAUAAACGCCACCGCAGUUCACUCUUGUCCCUACAUCUUUAAUGGCCACUUGCCAGGGAAAUUCAUCCUGCAAAUACAUGAGGCAUGAUGUUACACUUUUCUAGACCAGUUCUCCUACUAAUAUUACUUGUAUGUGAUCCCCAUGUGGAACUGGAAGUAGGAGCAAAAAUCAACGUAGGUUGACAAAGUACGGUAGAUAUUUAUUUCAGACCCUACUGUUUCUACUCUACCUUCUUCAGGAAAAGUCAGAGAAACAAAGGUUCAGCAUUUUGAUGUGCUGCCUCUUCUUUUCCUAUUGGAUAAAGAAAUAGCUCCUUCAUCCAUUCCACUUUUUUAGUUCCUGCUUCUAGUUGGAUUUUAAAAAAUAAUAUUUGAUGUACUAAAAUGUCCUAUGGCAAAAAAAAAUCCACAAUAGGCCCUUAACUGGAGUGAUUCAACUGUGCCACCCAUUCA